UCUUAAUCUAAGCAAAUAGAAAGAGGUUUAUGAUCUAAACUAGUGAAAUAGAAAGACUCCUAAAUACAAGCUCUUGGGUUAAAUUGUUGAUUAGAGUGAUAAAAUACUAUCGCAAGAUGCUCAAACAAUCAACAAUUGUUAAUCUUUAAGCCUAAGAUCACUAAUUUAUGCUAAUCCACUAUCGUGGCAAUAACUCAUAUGCUAAUCAAAUUUUUAACAUCAAAUGUCUUUGGUUAAUUACCAUCAAACAUGCAUUUAAAUCAAGUCCUAAUAGCCACU
rnacentral:lncRNA from 1 species